AGAUGGUCACCUGAAUGCACAGGUGCGCAGCCGCAGUUUUCGGAGCAGUAAGAUCGUAACAUUUGAUGUUAAGCUAACAGUGUGGCUUAUAAACGAACCAUCCAACUUCCUGUUUCGGUGGCGUGGCCAGUAAUGACUGAAAACGGCCACAAGGUGGCAGUAUUUCACGUGGAAGUGAAGGAGAAAACAACACACGAGAGGUGCAAACGGAGCGUGUCAAAGUUCAAGUAGCAAGACGACGUGUCCGCCGCCACUUUGCCCUUCCUGCUGCAGUCUGACAUCACAGGUAGAUGAGGAGGAGGGCGCCCAUGACCAGCAGGAAGCGACUGAGGUCGGAGUUGAAGUAGACGAUCAUGAGCAAUACACCAAGUCUGGAGGCGGAGUACAACCAGUCCAGCCAGUCCCGGUCCAGGUCUUCUUGGUCCUCCAUUACAGGCCCACCCUGGGCGUUCAUCCUCAUGUUCUGAUUGGCUAUCCCCGCGUCCACCAAGGCGCCGUCCUGUGCCGGAUCGGGGUUGGCCGCUUGGAGGUUGUUGAUGGGGUUCUGGUCGGCGAUGGGCGCUGGCACGGGUACCUGGUGGGCCGGGACGGGGUGGUGUGCCGGGGAGGGGGAGGGGGCGGUGCCCGCUGCCGCCCAAGCUGCCUGGCUGUUGGUGGACGACAACAUUUCAUUACAAACAUGGCUGUGACAUUAUUAUUAUUAUUAUUAUAUUUUCUAUUGUAUUAUUUUUAUUAUUUUUAAUGGAUGAGAAACAAACAAAACAAAAUAAAGUUAUAAUUUCUGGGAAAUUAACUUGGGAAUAAAGUCAUCAUAUUAUGGGAAUAAACCUACAAUUUCAUAAAAUUCAUAAUAUGGGAGUAAAGUCAUAUCAUUAUGGGAAUAAAAUCAUUAUAUAAUGGGAAUAAAUUAAUAUGGGGAUAAAUUAAAAUUUGAAUAAAGUCAUAAUUUUAUGGCAAUAAAAUCAUUAUUUUAUGGGAAUAAAAUAUGACAAUGUAGUCAUAAUAUUAUGGGAAUAAAGUAAUAAUUUCUGUGAAUAAAGUCAUAAUUCUAUGUGAAUAAAGACAAAAAAUUAUGGGAAUAAAGUCUUAAUAUUAUGGGAAUAAAGUCAUAUCAUUAUGGGAAUAAAGUCAUAAUAUUAUGGGAAUAAAAUCAUAAUUUAUGUGAAUUAAGUCAUAAAAUUAUGGGAAUAAAGUCUUAAUAUUAUGGAACUAAGUCAUAAUAUUAUGGAACCAAGUCAUAAUAUUAUGGGAAUAAAGUCCUAAUAUGGGAAUAAAGUCAUAAUUUUAUGUGAAUAAAGUCAUAAAAUUAUGGGAACAAUGUCAUAAUACAAUGAGAAUAAUGUAAUAAUAUUAUGGGAAUAAUGUCAUAAUACUAUGGGAAUAAAGUCUUAAUAUUAUGGGAAUAAUGUAAUAUUAUUAUGGGAAUAAAGUCAUAAUUGUAUGUGAAUAAAGUCAAAAUUAUGGGAAUAAUGUCAUAAUACAAUGAGAAUAAUGUCAUAAUACUAUGGGAAUAAAGCCUUAAUAUUAUAGGAAUAAUGUAAUAUUAUUAUGGGAAUAAAGUCUUAAUAUUAUGGGAAUAAUGUAAUAUUACAGGAAUAAAGUCUUAAUAUUAUGGGAAUAAUGUAAUAUCAUGGGAAUAAAGUCUUAAUAUUAUGGGAAUAAUGUAAUAUUAUUAUGAGAAUAAAGUCUUAAUAUUAUGGUAAUGUCAUAUUAUUAUGGGAAUAAAGUCUUAAUAUUAUGGAAAUAAUGUAAUAUUAUAAUGGGAAUAAAGUCUUAAUAUUAUGGGAAUAAUGUAAUAUUAUAAUGGGAAUAAAGUCUUAAUAUUAUGGUAAUAAUGUCAUAUUAUUAUGUGAAUAAAGUCAUGAUAUUAUGGGAAUGAUAUACAAGAAGAUAACUGUCCCAAGAUUAUUUAAGAAUAAAUAAUCUCCCCCAGUAAACGUGUAAAUAAGAGUGAAUAAUAAAUAAUAACUGUGUAACAUAGUGAAUCCAUAUAGCCGUGGUUAGCACAGCAAGAGUGAGCCGUUAGCAAGGAGGAAGAUACCAUUGUAUGUAGUACUGUUGAUACUGUUGGGCGUAGACGUGCUGGAGCCAUAGGAGUUGUUGGGGGCUGUACAGGGAGUGGGCUGGGAAUGUGGGCGGGGUCACCUGUGGUGUGGGGGGCCUGCAGGGGACAUAUGAAAGUCAUGUUAUUGUCACAUGACCUGUCCUACACACACAUUGUACAGGACAGGUUUUAGCUCUGAUGUAUGGACACGCGUCACACCAAACAAGGACUAAGUACUUCCUGUUUUGUCUUACACUGGCAUGCCGGGCGAUACGGGAGCAGCUUGGCGGGACGCUGGAACAUUCCUCUGCCUUGGCUCUGCUGUUCCGCUGGGACUGUCUGAUGCCAAGGAUGGCGUGGGCCCUUGGCUGGAGACACGAGGCUGCUCUUUAUCUUUAACCUGUUAGAAAAAAAUAAUCAAAGAUUCACCCAGUAAAGGAGACUAUAGGGGUGUUGUUUCAUGUCUAGAGGGCUCUAAUCAUGUUAAAAAGUGUAUUUAGAAAGUGAUAAAUGUCUUACUAUGUUUACUAUAUUGGAUAAUAGGAGUGUAAACAUGACUAUAGGGGUGUUAUUUCAUGUCUAGGGGUCUCUAAUUAAAGUCUAUUUAGAAGGUCAUAAACAAGUUAUAUGUCUUAUUUUCUCUUAUUAUGUCUACUAUAUUGGGUAACAGGUGGGUAAAGGAGACUAUAGGGGUGUUAUUUCAUGUCUAGAGGGCUCUAAUCAUGUUAAAAAGUGUAUUUAGAAGGUGGUAAAUGUCUUAUACGUCUUAUGUAUACUAUAUUUGGUAACAUGGGGGUAAAGGCGACUAUAGGGGUGUUAUUUCAUGUCUAGAGGGCUCUAAUCGUGUUAAAAAGUGUAUUUACAAGGUGGUAUAUGUCUUGUCAUGUCUACUAUAUUGGGUAAUAGAAGUGUAAAGGUGACUAUAGGGGUGUUAUUUCAUGUCUAGAGGGCUCUAAUGUUAAAAAGUGUAUUUACAAGGUGGUAAAUGUCUUACACGUCUUAUUAUGUCUACUAU